rnacentral:tmRNA from 1 species
GGGGGCGAACCGGGUUCGACCGGGCGAGUGAAAUGCGAGUUGCGUGCCGCGGUUGGUCAGCAGGCCGCGUUAAAAGCCGACUAAAAAUUUUAAUUGCCGAACCUAGAAUGGCAAUGGCUGCCUAAGAAAAGGCAACCCCGAAUUCGAUUCUUCGCCGAAGAGAUGAAUAAUUCGGUCGUCAAUUUCGGAUCGUUUUUCGUCAAGUCGAUUACACGAAAAAUUAAACUUUGUUAUCGAAUCGUCUGAAAGAGACCGGCGCCGAUAAGGGCUCUUAACGAUUAAAUUUUAAAUAAUCGGAUAUGCGCGUAGACGCUCUCAUGGAGCUGUCACGGGACGCGGGUUCGAUUCCCGCCGCCUCCAUUU